rnacentral:rRNA from 1 species
UACGUAGGGUCCGAGCGUUGUCCGGAAUUACUGGGCGUAAAGGGCUCGUAGGUGGCCAACUAAGUCAGACGUGAAAUCCCUCGGCUUAACCGGGGAACUGCGUCUGAUACUGGAUGGCUUGAGUUUGGGAGAGGGAUGCGGAAUUCCAGGUGUAGCGGUGAAAUGCGUAGAUAUCUGGAGGAACACCGGUGGCGAAGGCGGCAUCCUGGACCAACACUGACGCUGAUGAGCGAAAGCCAGGGGAGCAAACGGG